GUUGCUUGUCGGUUUCUUACCACAUUCAUCCUCCGCGAGAUGUAUUAUUUAUCAGAAGAACCACCAAGUCUUCUCUUGGUCGCGCGAGUUCCCCGACCGACGUAAGUACAUCUUCGCGAGAGCAACGUCCGAAGUUGUAGGG